rnacentral:tRNA from 1 species
GGAGGGGUGACCGAGCGGCCUAUGGUGGCGGUCUUGAAAACCGCAGUCUCGAAUUUCGGGACCGUGGGUUCGAAUCCCACCCCCUCCG